ensembl:lncRNA
UCCGGCCUGCACCCUGGGGGAGCUGCUGAUGUGGGAACAUGGUGUUUGAAAUCUUGACACUCAGGAAAGGAAAUCAAGCCAGUGGAGAGGAUGAGGGGGAUUGUUCAGUAUCUGAGGUUACGGCAGCAGGAUCAAGUCCAAAACUUUAGGUUGUAGGAGCCUACAUCACGAGAGCCCUUUGAACCUCUUGCUGCAAAAUCCAGAAACAACUUGAAGUUUGGACCAGACUAAAGGAUUAAAAAGACGGAGACCCACAUAAGUGAGAAGUCACUAUUGUUCACAUCCCUUGGGAACCCACACACUCCAGGACGCGCACCCCCUUGUGGUCACCGGUCACUCCACUCUCCAUCUAAUCAUUUCAUAUGGUUUACAGAGGCUUCUUCUUUUUUUUUUUUUAUACAUCAUGCUUGGCCCCACUGCCAAAUGUCUGCUUCUGGAUCUUCGUUUAGCCCAAACACCCAUAAAUCAUAAAGCUAUCAGUGUAAAGCGAUGGCACAGAGCCCGAGACAUGCAGACUGUGAGGGCAUCUGGAAGGCCAGGCUCAGGCUGUUUCUCAUCACAGACAGCUGGCUGGCUCACCAGCAGCCGAAUACAACUUGGGUUAAGGCUUAAAAGGAUAAAAAGUUCAAUCAGUGCUGAAUGCUAAUGUGGCUAACAAUGAUUAGUUUAAAUAACAGUGAGCAUGCGAUGAUGUGCAAAUGGACCAAAUGCAAAUUAUACAAAUAGCUGUUCACCUAAGAUAUAAUUUGCCAGAUGUACUAAGAUAUGCUCAAUUGUACUACUUUGAUGCUCAAGACCAGGUAUUAAACCAUAACCAACUUAUUUGAUCCUUUACUCAUUUAUUUUUUUGUUUUUGUUUUUUCAUAAACCAAACCUGUUGAAAGUGUCUUCUGUGCUGUUUAUCCUAUACAGGGUGGUGGGGGAGCUUGGUGCCUAUCCCAGGGAGUUCAGGGGACACCCUGUAUGGGGUGCUAACCCACUUCAGGACACAAUCUCCCACACACGACAAUUUGGAAAUGCCUACAGCACACUGAGGGAGGAAACAGGAGUACUUGGAGGAAACCCCUGAAACAAGGGGAGAACUUAUAAGCUCCGUACCCACAGGGUGGACGUGGGAAUCAUACCCCCAACCUUGGAGGUGCGAGGCAAAUGUUCUAACCACUAAGCCAGAGUGCCUCCCCUUAUUAUUGUUUAUCUCCAUUUCACUCAAUGAAAGUGUUCCAGUGUUUAAUGAGCGGAUUCCUCUAAAUUUUUUUGAAUUGAACCGAUUUGAAGUUAUUUAGCACUUUUUAAGGUUUUCAUUUGACUCACCCUCAUACAAAAAAAUGCAAAAAGACUUUUUUUCACACCCAAUUUUCAGACAUAAGAGUUUAUUCAAUUUUUUUUUAUUUUUUUUUUUUAACCAUAGCAAUUUUGUUCUCAAAUAUGAUUGGUCAGAAGUCAUUAAUUCACUUUCUCUAAUAGCUACUCGACAGUAUUUCCAGCUGUACUGACAAUUACAAGUCAACUGACCAGUUAUAUUAAUUAACCUUAUUUAAUAUGCUAUAAUUUCUAACUUAUGGUGUUUUAUGCUAGAUGUUGCACAGGUAAACAGAAUAAAUACAAAUGAACAAG